GGAUGUGCGCGCUUGGAGCGCUGGUUCUGGGGCCCGGCUGCUGCGGGACGGGUGUCCCUGUGCCACCCCUGUGGGUCGCAGAGAGAAGCUGCUGCUGUGGCUGUGGCCGAGGCUCAGUGGGGAAAACUCAACAGUCCUGAUGGAAAGGGAUGGAAAAGCAAGUUUUGUUUGGUUUUGGACUUUCCCAGAAGUUUUUUGGUUUUGCUUUUGGUUUUUUUUACAUUUUCCCCCUGAGCCUAUCUGUUUGUUUUGCCUUAGGAAACAGGAACAGGAGACAGAAGGGGGAAUGGGGACAAAGACAAUUUUUUACCCCAAAAGGGACGAGUGCAUUUAUAUUUAUUUCCUGACCCAGCUGGAAUGAUUUGGGUCUCAGGAGGCACCUGGGAGCCUCCUUUUGUCCUGGAUGGGGCCGUGGCUGUAAAAGGGGUAAAGGGUGGAGCAGAGGUGGGCAGAGGAGUAGUGGUUGUGAUCAAUGAUAAAUUGGGGAUUUGCAUCUGGAAACAGCCAUCAUUUUCCUCAUGGGAGUCCUGGAAACAGCUGAGAGUCCGUGAGAAAUGAGGAUACUGCAGCUGGAAUGCUGAGAAUGGAGAGUGUGCAGGGAAUAUUGCCUGGGACAGCGUCUUAGCCCAGGUCUUGGGAGCUGUGUGCACAUUCCUCCCUGGAGCAGGGAACCCCCGUGAGGAGGAGCCAGAGAUGGGGACAUCGAACCAGGUGCUGCCCAGGAUGGACAUCUCUGGUCUCAGACAGUAAUUCCCUAGGAGGAAGGGGAGCCUCUGCCUCAUCUGCACAGCUCAGGUGGAUGUGACAGAAUUGGUGUGGCCUGACAAGGCAUGAACAGCUCUCUGUGUUCUGGAGUGCCUCAAAACCUCUCUCUGGCAGGACAGGAAAAAGCAUUACACUCCUCCCAUCUUUGCCAAAAGCUGUGGUGUUUGAGCAGCCAAAGCCAGGAGGCUUCAGCACCAGGGCUCUGCCCUGGAGGGCUCCUGGUCCUGCCCAUGCUGUGGGGUCAGCAGGAACAGGAGGAAAUGGGGUGCCAGAGCCGUGUGCCAUCAGGCUGUGUUUCCCUCUGGGAACAGAGCUGCUGCUGGAACCAUGGCCUUAGGUCUGCUCCCUCUGUGUCUGUGCCAGGGAGAAGAACACCAACUCACAGCCAUUUGGGCCUGACAGUCCCCUGCAGCGAGAGCUCAGCACACAUCCACAGAGGCAAGUCCAGCAUCUGAAAGGAAAAAAAACAAACAGAAGGAAAAGAGCUGCCCCUUGAACACCAGCUGUGCCAGGAACCAGCAGAACUUCCAAGGAAGCUCAGCAGCAUCGGGACAGGGACAGGAAAGGGUGCACAUCCCUGCCUUCAGCACACCUCCAGUGGGACUCACCUGCAAAAGCUUUCCAUCCCUUCUGUACUUCCAGCUGGCUUCCUGAAAAACUCCCAGCUUCAUCCAAACAAAACUUCAUCCCACCCAAACCUCUGAUUUUAAGGCAUUUCUGCAGGUUGUUGUGUGGGAUUUAGUACCUGUGAGGGAAGAUUGCAUUGGCUGGAAUGCUGCUGCUGAAUGAUGGCCUCAGGCUGGAAGGGAAGGGUUUUGGGGUGGCUGGAACUCACCUGGCAGCUGUGUGGGAGCUCUGGGAGGUUGGAACCGGGAAUUGCUGCCUGAGCCCCUCUGCAAGUGCCCCAUGCUGCCAUCAGCAGGAAAUGCCAACUGUGCCUUGGGGUGAUUUUGGGCUGUAGGUGAUCUCCAUCCAGGCUGGAGCAUCUCCAGGUGCCUGUUCAGAGCAGCCCCUGGCCCAGGAGCCACGGGCAGCCCUGGAGCCGUGUCCGUGCCAGCACUGCCCGGGCACUCCAGUGUCCAUCCCUGGGACGUGCUUGGCACAGGCAGGACGCUGCAGAGCCCAAGGACAAGAGGUGCUGGUUGCCUUUCAGGGACUCCUGGCCUUCUCCUGCCCCACAUUGCCAUCUGGGACACACAGAAACACCAAGGAACAUUGCUGGCAGUGAGCAGGAGACACCGAGGCCUCUGUGCAGCUCUAGGACCCAAAAACAGCUCCAGGAGUUGCCAUCAUCUUAGCCUGGUGAUACUCACCUGCAGGAAAUAUCCUAUGGACUUGAAAGUCCGAUUUUACGAUCCCUCUCAACCCCAGUAGAUCUUUCACAUGUCCUGUGAUCUGGAAGUAAAGAGAAAAAUUCCCAGUUGAGUUUUUAUAAAUGAGGUUUUGCCAUUGCAGA